UUUGUAGGAUGGGAUAGGGGUGUUCAUGCUUUGUUUCGGUUCGAAGCCGACCAAACCAUCAUCGGUAUGGUUUCACGAUCGGUUUUUUUUCUUUUAUGUUCGUGGGUCGGUUUUGAAACUUCAAACCGUAGUGAACGGUAUGGUUUGCGAUUUAUAUCGUAAACGAGUCAAAUAAAGAUUGAUGACAUGUAGUGUAGGUGUGGUGCUUCCCUUGUCUAUUUUCUUAAGAAUUUUUUUAGCAUUCUAACAUAAAAAAGCCGUAAAUUGGAAUAUGAUUAGCUUAUUUAUUUUGUUGGAUACACUUUUUACUUCAUAUGUUAAUGCAUUUGAUAUAAAGGCCAAAGGAUAAACCCUGAAAUCAAAUCAGAAUCAAACCGUUAGUAACACUUUGGGUUGGUUUGGUUUAAGAUUCAACGGUUUCGUUUUAAUUUUUUUAUAAUAAAAAAUAAUCUAGUUAAAGAAUUCACCUAAAUCCAGACUGCGAACACCUCUAGGGUUGGGAGUUGGGUCUAAUAGCGAAGUUUAUGGAGAUAAAGUGGAGCCCUUCUUGAAGGUCAAGAAUUGCAAGCACUUUACAUGUCAUCCAACGUUCCCUUUUAAGAUGUCAACUUCUAAACCCCUACGACACCAGGUCAUCAACGCUGUUUCGAAAAUUCUAGAAUUUCAUUCGUUUCGAAUACCAACAUUUGAAUUCGAGUCACGUCUUUAAACCAAAUCGUGAAACUGGAUUCAAACUUGUUUUGAUCUUUUCAAGGUAUAGGACAUAUUUUUACAAAAGGUCAUGAGACUAGGACUGCCAAUACGCUAUUUGUUGCAGUACCUAUGCUUAAUACCCUGUGUUACCAAGCAAAUAUUAUUGACUUGCACGCCGGGCAAACGAGAUCUGCCUGAGACAAUGUGGUUUGUACUGAAGCCGGCUGACUCUGGAUAGAGUUUGUGUAGGGUUGAAGGAAUCGAAACAGGCUGCUUUGAUUUGUCCAAGCGGGAAGAAGAGUAGGAGGCAGUGGAGUACGUAUCAGAGGCGAAGAAGGAGGCGGAGACGGUCGGUUACUACGUCGGUAAUUGCUGAUUUGUUGUCGGUUGAUUGGGUGUGAUUUUGGGCUUAGGUGCUGCUGAAUGAGAAAUAAAAUAUAAUAAUGGGUCUUUAAACAAA